GGGUUGUGAGGUUAAGCGACUAAGCGUACACGGUGGAUGCCCUGGCAGUCAGAGGCGAUGAAGGGCGUACUAAUCUGCGAUAAGCGCCGGUAAGGUGAUAUGAACCGUUAUAACCGGCGAUACCCGAAUGGGGAAACCCAGUGUGAUUCGUCACACUAUCAUUAACUGAAUCCAUAGGUUAAUGAGGCGAACCGGGGGAACUGAAACAUCUAAGUACCCCGAGGAAAAGAAAUCAACCGAGAUUCCCCCAGUAGCGGCGAGCGAACGGGGAGGAGCCCAGAGCCUGAAUCAGCAUGUGUGUUAGUGGAAGCGUCUGGAAAGGCGCGCGAUACAGGGUGACAGCCCCGUACACAAAAGCGCAUGUGCUGUGAGCUCGAUGAGUAGGGCGGGACACGUGGUAUCCUGUCUGAAUAUGGGGGGACCAUCCUCCAAGGCUAAAUACUCCUGACUGACCGAUAGUGAACCAGUACCGUGAGGGAAAGGCGAAAAGAACCCCGGCGAGGGGAGUGAAAAAGAACCUGAAACCGUGUACGUACAAGCAGUGGGAGNNNNNNNNNNNNNGUGUGACUGCGUACCUUUUGUAUAAUGGGUCAGCGACUUAUAUUCUGUAGCAAGGUUAACCGAAUAGGGGAGCCGGAGGGAAACCGAGUCUUAAUUGGGCGUUAAGUUGCAGGGUAUAGACCCGAAACCCGGUGAUCUAGCCAUGGGCAGGUUGAAGGUUGGGUAACACUAACUGGAGGACCGAACCGACUAAUGUUGAAAAAUUAGCGGAUGACCUGUGGCUGGGGGUGAAAGGCCAAUCAAACCGGGAGAUAGCUGGUUCUCCCCGAAAGCUAUUUAGGUAGCGCCUCGUGAAUUCAUCUCCGGGGGUAGAGCACUGUUUCGGCUAGGGGGCCAUCCCGGCUUACCAACCCGAUGCAAACUGCGAAUACCGGAGAAUGUUAUCACGGGAGACACACGGCGGGUGCUAACGUCCGUCGUGAAGAGGGAAACAACCCAGACCGCCAGCUAAGGUCCCAAAGUCAUGGUUAAGUGGGAAACGAUGUGGGAAGGCCCAGACAGCCAGGAUGUUGGCUUAGAAGCAGCCAUCAUUUAAAGAAAGCGUAAUAGCUCACUGGUCGAGUCGGCCUGCGCGGAAGAUGUAACGGGGCUAAACCAUGCACCGAAGCUGCGGCAGCGACACUGUGUGUUGUUGGGUAGGGGAGCGUUCUGUAAGCCUGCGAAGGUGGCCUGUGAGGGUUGCUGGAGGUAUCAGAAGUGCGAAUGCUGACAUAAGUAACGAUAAAGCGGGUGAAAAGCCCGCUCGCCGGAAGACCAAGGGUUCCUGUCCAACGUUAAUCGGGGCAGGGUGAGUCGACCCCUAAGGCGAGGCCGAAAGGCGUAGUCGAUGGGAAACGGGUUAAUAUUCCCGUACUUGGUGUUACUGCGAAGGGGGGACGGAGAAGGCUAUGUUGGCCGGGCGACGGUUGUCCCGGUUUAAGCGUGUAGGUGUGUGUUCCAGGUAAAUCCGGUUCACUUUAACACUGAGGCGUGACGACGAGGCACUACGGUGCUGAAGCAACAAAUGCCCUGCUUCCAGGAAAAGCCUCUAAGCAUCAGGUAACAUCAAAUCGUACCCCAAACCGACACAGGUGGUCAGGUAGAGAAUACCAAGGCGCUUGAGAGAACUCGGGUGAAGGAACUAGGCAAAAUGGUGCCGUAACUUCGGGAGAAGGCACGCUGACACGUAGGUGAAGUGAUUUACUCAUGGAGCUGAAGUCAGUCGAAGAUACCAGCUGGCUGCAACUGUUUAUUAAAAACACAGCACUGUGCAAACACGAAAGUGGACGUAUACGGUGUGACGCCUGCCCGGUGCCGGAAGGUUAAUUGAUGGGGUCAGCGCAAGCGAAGCUCCUGAUCGAAGCCCCGGUAAACGGCGGCCGUAACUAUAACGGUCCUAAGGUAGCGAAAUUCCUUGUCGGGUAAGUUCCGACCUGCACGAAUGGCGUAAUGAUGGCCAGGCUGUCUCCACCCGAGACUCAGUGAAAUUGAACUCGCUGUGAAGAUGCAGUGUACCCGCGGCAAGACGGAAAGACCCCGUGAACCUUUACUAUAGCUUGACACUGAACAUUGAGCCUUGAUGUGUAGGAUAGGUGGGAGGCUUUGAAGUGUGGACGCCAGUCUGCAUGGAGCCGACCUUGAAAUACCACCCUUUAAUGUUUGAUGUUCUAACGUGGACCCGUUACCCGGGUUGCGGACAGUGUCUGGUGGGUAGUUUGACUGGGGCGGUCUCCUCCUAAAGAGUAACGGAGGAGCACGAAGGUUGGCUAAUCCUGGUCGGACAUCAGGAGGUUAGUGCAAUGGCAUAAGCCAGCUUGACUGCGAGCGUGACGGCGCGAGCAGGUGCGAAAGCAGGUCAUAGUGAUCCGGUGGUUCUGAAUGGAAGGGCCAUCGCUCAACGGAUAAAAGGUACUCCGGGGAUAACAGGCUGAUACCGCCCAAGAGUUCAUAUCGACGGCGGUGUUUGGCACCUCGAUGUCGGCUCAUCACAUCCUGGGGCUGAAGUAGGUCCCAAGGGUAUGGCUGUUCGCCAUUUAAAGUGGUACGCGAGCUGGGUUUAGAACGUCGUGAGACAGUUCGGUCCCUAUCUGCCGUGGGCGCUGGAGAACUGAGGGGGGCUGCUCCUAGUACGAGAGGACCGGAGUGGACGCAUCACUGGUGUUCGGGUUGUCAUGCCAAUGGCACUGCCCGGUAGCUAAAUGCGGAAGAGAUAAGUGCUGAAAGCAUCUAAGCACGAAACUUGCCCCGAGAUGAGUUCUCCCUGAGACUUAAAGUCUCCUGAAGGAACGUUGAAGACGACGACGUUGAUAGGCCGGGUGUGUAAGCGCAGCGAUGCGUUGAGCUAACCGGUACUAAUGAACCGUGAGGCUUAACCUUACAACGCCGAAG
rnacentral:rRNA from 2 species